GUGCUUGCUUCAGCAGCACAUAUACUAAAAUUGGACCAAUACAGAGAAGACUUGCACAGCCCUGUACACAGGUGACACACAAUUCAUAAAGCAUUCCAAGUUUAU
ensembl:snRNA U6 U6 spliceosomal RNA